rnacentral:lncRNA from 1 species
AAAUAUUUGCAACGCUGGAUCAAACAUGCCAGGUGCACGUCUGAAAAACGGUGAAAACUGAAGUUUUUUAGUAAAACUUUUUGCUGAGGAGCAGAUCAUUCACUGAAAUUACCAGAACAGAGUGCUCAUUAAAUUGUACUAAUUUUAAUGCCUGAAGUACGGUAAAAAGCCUCAUACUUCCUAAGUAAAAAUUUAGCACAAACAGAUCCAUGUGGCUCUUCCUGCUCUGCUCUUUCUUGCAUGAUGUCAGCAGAAG